UCCAGGUGAGUUAGAAGAAAGCCGACUCCUCCCCCGGAGGAAGACUGUUGUCUAUUUGCAAUUUGCUUCUCAAAUGACACUCUAUUCCCCACUCUGUUGUAGUGCACUAUAUAGGGAAUAGGUGGCCAUUAGGUCUUGGUUCAUAUUAGUGCACUAUAUAGGGAAUAGGUGGCCAUUAGGUCUUGGUUCAUAGUAGUGCACUAUAUAGGGAAUAGGUGGCCAUUAGGUCUUGGUUCAUAGUAGUGCACUAUAUAGGGAAUAGGUGGCCAUUAGGUCUUGGUUUAUAGUAGUGCACUAUAUAUAGGGAAUAGGUGGCCAUUAGGUCUUGGUUUAUAGUAGUGCACUAUAUAGGGAAUAGUUGGCCAUUAGGUCUUGGUUUAUAGUAGUGCACUAUAUAGGGAAUAGGUUGCCAUUAGGUCUUGGUUCAUAGUAGUGCACUAUAUAGGGAAUAGGUGGCCAUUAGGUCUUGGUUUAUAGUAGUGCACUAUAUAGGGAAUAGGUGGCCAUUAGGUCUUGGUUUAUAGUAGUGCACUAUAUAGGGAAUAGAUGGCCAUUAGGUCUUGGUUUAUAGUAGUGCACUAUAUAGGGAAUAGGUUGCCAUUAGGUCUUGGUUCAUAGUAGUGCACUAUAUAGGGAAUAGGUGGCCAUUAGGUCUUGGUUUAUAGUAGUGCACUAUAUAGGGAAUAGGUGGCCAUUAGGUCUUGGUUUAUAGUAGUGCACUAUAUAGGGAAUAGAUGGCCAUUAGGUCUUGGUUUAUAGUAGUGCACUAUAUAGGGAAUAGGUGGCCAUUAGGUCUUGGUUUAUAGUAGUGCACUAUAUAGGGAAUAGGUGGCCAUUAGGUCUUGGUUUAUAGUAGUGCACUAUAUAGGGAAUAGGUUGCCAUUAGGUCUUGGUUCAUAGUAGUGCACUAUAUAGGGAAUAGGUUGCCAUUAGGUCUUGGUUCAUAGUAGUGCACUAUAUAGGGAAUAGGUUGCCAUUAGGUCUUGGUUCAUAGUAGUGCACUAUAUAGGGAAUAGGUUGCCAUUAGGUCUUGGUUCAUAGUAGUGCACUAUAUAGGGAACAGGUUGCCAUUUGCAACACCCCUGCUGAUUGGGUGAUGUGGCUGUGACAGGCCCUGGUGCUGUGCCACACAGGAUUACUGUGACAGGCGGCUGUGUCAGGGACUUAGCUGCAUUAGUUCACUCCACUCGUUAAAGGUUUAUUUCAGG